rnacentral:tRNA from 1 species
GGGAAGGUGGCUCAGUGGUAGAGAGCUUGCCUUGCAUGCAUGAGGCCCUGGGUUCGAUUCCUCACCACCACA